rnacentral:rRNA from 1 species
GUGGGGAAUUUUGGACAAUGGGGGCAACCCUGAUCCAGCCAUGCCGCGUGCGGGAAGAAGGCCUUCGGGUUGUAAACCGCUUUUAGCCGGGAAGAAAAGGCCGCUCCUAACAGGGGUGGUUUUUGACGGUACCGGCGGAAUAAGCACCGGCUAACUACGUGCCAGCAGCCGCGGUAAUACGUAGGGUGCGAGCGUUAAUCGGAAUUACUGGGCGUAAAGCGUGCGCAGGCGGUUCGUUGUGUCGGUGGUGAAAGCCCCGGGCUCAACCUGGGAAUGGCCAUGGAAACUGGCGAACUGGAGUGUGGCAGAGGGGGGUGGAAUUCCGCGUGUAGCAGUGAAAUGCGUAGAGAUGCGGAGGAACACCGAUGGCGAAGGCAGCCCCCUGGGCUAGCACUGACGCUCAGGCACGAAAGCGUGGGGAGCAAACAGGAUUAGAAACCCCAGUAGUCC